rnacentral:misc_RNA from 1 species
CCUUCUCUAUCAAUUUUCCUUGCCUUGUAAACGGGCAUCAGCAGUGAGGCAACAAAAUCCACAACUGCCUGUUUAAUACGAUCUGCACCUUGGCGAUGACUUUUUUGUUGUUGCUUUUUUAAUGUAACCUGUGACAUUGAGCUCUCAUUCGCUUGUCCAUUAUUCUUCCUGGUGCGUGGUUUUGAACUUGUGUUUGAAUCCUCUUCAUCCUUCAUAUUCAUAGUUGGGCAGAAAAAAUCAGAAUCAGCAGCAGCUGCUUGAGAUUGCCA